UCCCUCAGCGCGGACUCAGCAGCCCUUUGGUUGGAUUCCUUAGCACCUCUCCCCCCCAUAACUACAGAGAUUUCUUUGAGGCCUGGUAGGUGCUCGAUGCCAGCAGGCACAGCUCCGUACCUGUCCCAUCCCUUUGCAUUGAAACAUAGCUCGAGCCUUUCGAGCUGGGGCAUUGUCUCUGCCUCAAAGGUCAGGUACGAUAUCCUGCCACAGGCGACUCUAAAAUGCUUCAGAACAGGGAAUAAUCCACUUCCUCCAGGAAUGAUGAUCUUAGCUUCAGGAGCUCUAUGGAUGUGCAAAACUAGGUGGAUAAGGGAGGGCAGCUGUGAAAGAAUUCCAACAUCAUCCUCCAACACCUCCUGAACAGUGAGAUACAGGUCAUAGAUGCUAUGGAGCUGGCUAAUCCACUUUGGAACCCUCGAGAACCACGAUAGCCACUUUGCAUGGAAGCUUUGCAGAUGGAAGAAAUAAGCUGGGACUGAACGCCAUACAUCGAAGCAGCUUCUGAAAAAAACAUUAUUACUACAAAUAUGUAGAUGUCUGAGGUUGCAAAGGUUUUCAAAGGCGUGCACAACUUGCCAACAUCUCGCAGCAGUCUCAUCUCCAGAUUUUUUGUAUUCGUAGCCACAGCUGAUUUCAAGAUUUGUCAGAUUUGUCAGUUCUCUCAGACCCUUGAUACUGUCCAAUGAGUUGCCCAAAUCAAACUGGCCUAGAGUACGCAAAGAUUUCAUAUUACCAAUCCUAUCAGGCAAUAUUACAUAACCAGGAAUAGCCAGAUGCAACAACCGGCUCAAAUUAAAAAUAUCUGAUGGUAGUUUUGUAAUCCGUGGCGCUAUUCCAGUUCUUAUGUCAAAUGUUUCCAGUUGCUGAAGAUCCCCAAUUUUACUAGGUAACACCACAUGGCAACCUUCUGCUACGAUCUUUAAGAAUCUUAACUGAAACAGGUGACGUAUCCCAGUAAAGUCUAGCGAUGGAUUGGACCAUCCUGAAAUUUCAAUUCCUAGAACUCGGAGAUGCUUGAACAGUUUAAAAGAGAGCAACUGCGAGGAGGUACCAAAUCUUGCUAGCGUACGUAUUUGGGAUAGCUGGACAGAUCUCGCUGCAGUGUCAGCAGUGUCAUUUGUUGCAUCAUCCAGGUUGAGCGAGAUCCGGCGGAUCUUGUUUUGAUGUCCUGUCAUGUCUUGCAUAUCAUCGAUUAUAGUUAUGAAAUUCUCUUCUCUAGACUUAUGUAAUAUAAGAUCGAGCAUCAUAUCAUGUACCCGGCAAGAUAUUACCUCACCAUUAUAGUCUGUAUCUACAGGCAGAAUCAUACUUCUAUUGAUAAGCUCAUUAAAAUAGCUCUCUGCAAUAUCCUUUGGAUCUAUCCCACGCUCUUUACAUAUAAAUCCUUCAGCAACCCAUUGCCUAGUCAAAUCAUUCUUGUCAAUUGUGUAGUCUUCUGGAUAAAUACCAAGAUAUAGCAUGCAAGUCUUCAAAUAAUGAGGAAGAUUUAUGUAGCUGAGAUUCAAUAUUUGUCUCAUGCCUUCCAAGCUUGGGCUCACUUCAAAGUUGGAGCCUAGAGACUUCCGUACAUACUCCCACCGCUCCUUUUUAAGCUUGUUUGGCUGAUUGGCUAACAGGCUAGAUGUUGUGAUAAUUGCAAGUGGCAAGCCACCACAUUUUUUCAAAAUUUCAGACGACACUUCGUUCAAAUAUGAAGGGCACAUAUCCUCUGAACCAAAUAUUCUUUUGAGGAAUAAGCUUCUUGAGUCUUGGUCACUAAGGGCCUUCAUUUUGUAAACACAUUCAAUGUGAUUACUACAGCAAGCUCUAGCCACAGCCUCAAUUCUGGUAGUUGUUAUUACUCUGCUACCAUUCGUGUUCUCCGGAAGAGCACAUCUGAUAAUAUCCCAUGCAGAAGCAUCCCAGAUGUCAUCGAUUACAAUGAGGUACCUGCGAUGUAAAUACAUAUGGAGUGUAGCAACCAUCAUGACAGAGUAAAUGAAGACAUGAAAGUAUAUCAUCACUAAAGAUCAAAAACAACAAGAAGAAAAACACAAUUAUCCCUACUCUGCUCCUUUCUUCUCAUCCACUCAGUGAAAGAUUGAGGAACAUCGUUCCCCACUGUCUAUUUCAUCUCUUUAUUUUUUUAAAAAUGAAGUAGCUUUUUUCUGUGGGCUACACUGAAGGGGCAUGGGAUGUCAGAACAACCUGUCUGGUGCUAAAAUUGAGCGAACUAUGGCUCAUGGGCCUUGCUCUGUUUUUCAAGUAACAAUUCUCAAAACUGAAUCAUAUAUACUUAAUUAGGCUGCGGUGAGAAAGAAAUGCUAAUUGGAGGGGUGCAAUUUGAAGAAUAGAAAUGAAAAGCAAUAUUCAGAGUUCUGAUAACAAUUUUAAACCUUUUGUGUAUUUUAUAAGGAUUUCUCUGUUUUUCAUAUGCUAAUAAUGAAUAUUUUAACAGAUCUGAUAAAGUACAAAACCAUUGAAUGCAGAUUCCAAGUAAUGUGAAUGCUAACAAACAUCCAUUAUACAUUUAAGGAUACAACACAUACUAGUCAGCCACAAGAAACCAACGUCUAGAGAACAAAUCUAGACACCUCAUAUUAUAAAGUUCUAAAGAAUACUAUGGUGCUAAAGAAGAAUAGCUUCAAAAUAAAAAAGAAAGUUUCAUAUCAGAAAUCACUCAGAGCACAAUUACUUUGAGACGCGCGUACCUCUUGUCCAAUAGGAAAUUUUUCAGUGCAAUGAUCAAUUCAGACUCUUCCCACAUUUCAAUGUUGGUGUCCUUAGGAGCUACAAAUCCAGCUUGAGAUAAUAUGCUUCUCAGAAUCUUCCUAAUGUUUGGUUUUUGGGACACAGAAACAAAAGCUGGAGACUGGAACUUCUCCUCAAGCUUGUGAUAAAUCUCAUUUGCAAGCGUAGUCUUUCCGAGACCUCCAAAGCCCACAAUAGAGAGCACCUUUAGCUGAUGCGCAGGCACACCCUCUCCAUCCAUCAACUGAAUCAGCUGGUCUCUUGGUCCCUUGACACCGACAAGGCUCGUCGUCUCCGCAUGGAGCGCCAACAAGCGAGGAUCGAUGGUUGUGUUGUUUUGCUUUGGGACAGUGUCGUCAAUCUUGUACCUCGUGCGACGCUCACUUGCCUCCUUGACACGGAUCUUAAGGCCUUCAAACUCUUUUGCAAUCUCAUGCCUAGUGUUCAUUGUUGUCAGCAACUUGGUGCUCCUGGUGAUGAACCCUUUGAAUCCGUGUGGCUUGCUGGAGUCACGUUCCACGCGGAGCAUGAACUCGCUGAUGCUGUCCUCGAUGUCAUAGGACAGCUCGCGAACCUCCUUGGCCCAGCACUUGUCUUGGUCGUCAGGCUCCUCUGAAUCUGAGAUCUUCUUCAUGAAGACAUACAUGCUCUCGAGCUCAGCUUUUAGGAACAUGAUCUGCCCCUUAGCUUCUUUGAGCAACUUGUACUCGGCUGUGAGCAGCUCACUAAGCUUUCGAAGCAGGGAGCCCAUGGCGCCGCCCGAUGCGCUCACCACCGCAGCCUCCAUGGCCUCCUCUUUCCUCUCUUUGCUUGCUCUCAAUGUGACCGUGUGCAGUUUUCUCUGCGGUGCAGUGUGAGGUCUGCCAAGUGCCAAGCAAGCGCUUGACUGGAACAAAUGAGACCCUAAGCAAAGAAAGAUUCCUCUCAUCAAUCACAGAUAGAUACAUAUGCAAUCUCUUUCUUCCUUGUUAUUCCAAUGACUUUUUUCACAUGUGAUCAGUGUUCUCUUUAGCAUAAAGUCGUAAUAAUGGAGAAUAGGGUGCCCACUGCACGGUACCAGUCCAAAAGGAAACAAAGUUGAUAGGUACAUGUGGAUGCCUAUCGUGCGUCUUGUGGUUUGCUCAUCCUAAAAGUCUUUCCACUACCGUUAGUUUCUGAUAAAAUAAUCUAAAGAGAACAAUGAAUACAUACAUAUCAAUACAUGAAACUACCAAUCUCGCUAAAAAAAUAUGUAAGAAACAUGGCUCCAUUAGGCUAUAAUUGUGAUUUUGUUGAUUGUAUGAUAAUAUAGUCAAUCCGACUAAUGUUAAGAUUUUAGAAUUGUCUAAUUCACCCCUCCUCCUCAUAGGCUACAAGCACCGAUUUCUUUCAAAAAAUUAUUAUCGCACGCUGUGAUAGACAGCUGAACCAGCAUCACUAAACGUGAUUUAUUUGACAUUAAUUGUGGUGUUCUCUUUGGAGUGUGUUUUGAGGUCUAUGACAAGACGAUUGGCUACAAUGGGGUCCACAUGCAGAGAUUCUUCUCACCAAUUAUUGAUCAAUGCCGCACUCGCUUUGUUCCUUUUCAUCAUCUUUGCCUUUGGUUUGAUUUUUGUGGAAGGAAUGUGGCCGCUGCCAAUGGGCGCGCGAUUCCGAAGAACUGAAGGUGAGUGAGGGGCGCUUCUAUAUAACUUGUGGAAGCUGGUUAAACAUUAUAGCUUCAAAGCUCAUUAAGCCCAUUAGAUCAAAAUUAGAAGCUGUCAAUUAUAUUAAAAGGAUUAACAUGAAAGCUGUCCAAUAAUUUUAUACAUGCGGUACCCCUUGGAAGCUCGAGGAGCCAUCGUCUCCUCAUAUGUCAGAUUCUAUAAAAGAAAAUACAAAUAGGAAGCCCUUGCAUGUCUAAUUUAGUAUUUUAUAUUCCACGCGUGCAGCUAGCUCGCAUCUUGUGUUAUUCAACGUAGGUCAUGCACUUUGCAUGAUGCAAAGAAGACCAACCAACUCUAAAUUACUCUCUCCGUCUAAAAUAAAUUAUUCUACGAUUCAAAACUUAUUCUAAAAAUAAAUCAUCUUACUCUAUUUAGAAAGUGUAUGUCAUGGUAAGAAUCAAUUAGUGCUAGCUGGAAGGAUUACUACAUUAUUGUGCUGCAAUACAGGAUAUCAAUAUCAGUUCAUUUAUUUAAACAGUCACUAUAUAAUAUGUGAUAGUUACGUAUAAACUUAGCAAGUUUCGGAACCUAGAUGUACACACCACUGCAUCUUAUAAGGAUUAGAUACCAUGACACCGUGAGGAUUGUCGGUGUACGUCACGGUUCUGUUUUUUUAAAAAAAAAACCGAACCACAGGUGUAUAUAGAAUGUAGAUAUACAGAGAUGAUCAGAAGCCAGCGCGCGCGCCCGCGCACACUCGCUUGGGGGUAAUUAGUUAAUGAUCGACAUUUACCAAACUGACAGCGGAAAGUGCUUAUAUUUCCCUAAUGAGUCAUAUAUUGAGUAUGUAAAAAAGUGGUAGAGGUUAAUUAGACCUUUAAUCUUGCUUAGACAUGCCCGGCCAGCAUCUGCAGGUGUGCGUGUGCACCCGUGACCCAGCAUCAGCAUUUGUACCCUGUGAUACACAAAGAAAAGGGUAAUGGUCAAUAUUUAGCUAGAAGGAAUAUAUAUAUAUAUAUAUAUAUAUAUAUAUAUAUAUAUAUACAUGAAAAAUCUAUUCUACACGCGCUUGUAGCUACUCCUACGUAUGUAUCUCAUGAUGGAGGACGUCGUAUCUAACCCAAUAAAAGAUAUGCACGAUGUGUAUAUGAUCAUACUAGACCAUCUGUAAUGGUACAUACGUUGGGUAUAUGACCGAGUAUGUAGACAUACUUAAUUUUAUAUACUAGUAUUAAGGUAUAAUAAUAUAUGUUUAAAAAAUAAGGAUGCUUUUGAAAUUUUUCGUAUAUAUCCCUUUAAAGUAUCUUAGAAUAAAUAUAUAAAUAUACUCAAAAUAAUAAAUGAGUAUGUGAACAUACGCACGAUGGUAUAUUGAUGGUGAGAGUAGCUACACGCGAGUGUAGAUAAAACCCGUCCUAUAUAUAUAUAGGAAAAAUUCAUUCUACACGCAUUUGUAGCUACUCCCAUAUGUGUAUCUCAUGACGUAGGACGUAUCUGACCCAACGAAGAGCAUGUACAUGAAGUACGUGAUCAUAUUAGAAUAUCUAUAAUGGUAUAUACGUUGGGUAUGUGACCAUACAUACAGUAUGCGAACAUACUAAUUUUUAUAUACUAGUACUAUAUAUAUGAUGAGGUUUUUCUACACUCGCAUGUAGCUACUCUCAUCAUCAGUAUACCACCGUGCGUAUGUCCGUAUACUUAUAAUUCACUUUAAAUAUGUUUAUGUACUGAUUCUAAGAUACUCACAAGGAUACAUAUGAAAAAUUUCAAAAGCAUCCUUAUUUUUUAAAUAUAUCAUCAUUAUACCUGUAGUAUUAUUAGUAUAUAAAAAUAAGUAUGUCCAUGUAUUUUAUGUAUGGUCACGUACCCAAUAUAUAUACUAUCAUAUAUAUAUAUAUAUAUAUAUAUAUAUAUUAAGUGCUGAAUUUUGAAAAAAAAAGACAUGGUAUAUAAAAGAAAAGGAGCUCGUGCAGUGCGUGACGGACCCACACACGUCUUAUCAAGUGCUGCGCCAACGUAGGGUCCAGCGCAUCAGUCAGGUGAUUAUUGAUUUCAUUAAUCUCCUCGUGAACGAUGUGACUAUCUUUGAUAAAAGAGAAUUCCUUUAUCCGGGCCUCCGCGUGAUUUGUAAAGUGGCGUCAAUAGAUUUUAAUUCUGGAUCCCUAAUUUGUGAAGCUUUGUUCAUCUCGCCGUGAGGACUAGUAGAAUGAAAAAGAAAUAGAGACAAUUCGAGACAAAACAAUUUGUUACUCGGUCCUCAUCAGGUAGUAGCUUGCAUGGAACCGACUAAUCAAAGCUAGAAAGCACUUGAGCAUCCAUCAUUAUUCCUAACUCAACAAUUCCACACCACAGGCCUGUGAUGCUGAAAAUUGAUUCAGAACCAGCAGCAUCGGAAAAUAAUGACAACUUUCAAACGAACAGUACAGCUAGCUGACAGUAGUACAUGAAACGAGAAGACUGGAGCCGGUCGGCGGCCGACAGAUGUGUGUAUCGUCUAGAUUUCUUCAGCAGAGACAUGAUAUGGUCCUGCCCACAACCACAGCCCAAGCAAUGGCCGUCAAAUGAAAUAUCCAACUGAAACGUCGUGGUACCAGCUACGAGUAUGUAAUGCUGCUGGCGAUUCAUAAAAGGAGGCAAACUGCAUGACUUUGUACUUGGCCUUGAUCAUGUGCUGCUGCUGCUACUCCCACCGUUCCCCUCCUCCUCCUCCUCCUCAGGCUCAUCAAAUACCCACCCUCUACCUUUGUUAACCUUGAUGUUGGCUACAGGACGUCGUGGGUGCAUGUCAGCCGUGUCCCUCAGCGCGGACUCAGCAGCCCUCCGGUUGGAUUCGUUAGCACCGCUCCCCCCAAUAUCUACAGAGAUUUCUUUGAGGCCUGGUAGGUGCUCGAUGCCAGCAGGCACAGCUCCGUACCUGUCCCAUCCCUUUGCAUUGAAACAUAGCUCGAGCCUUUCGAGCUUGGGCAUUGUCUCUGCCUCAAAGGUCAGGUACGAUAUCCUGCCACAGAUGAUUCUAAAAUGUUUCAGAACAGGGAAUAAUCCACUUCCUCCAGGAAUGAUGAUCUUAGCUUCAGGAGCUCUACGGAUGUGCAAAACUAGGUGGAUAAGGGAGGGCAGCUGUGAAAGAAUUCCAACAUCAUCCUCCAACACCUCCUGAACAGUGAGAUCCAGGUCAUAGAUGCUAUGGAGCUGGCCAAUCCACUUUGGAACCCUCGAGAACCACGAUACCCAUUUUGCAUGGAAGCUUUGCAGAUGGAAGAAAUAAGCUGGGACUGAACGCCAUACAUCGAAGCAGCUUCUGACAAGAUCAUUAAAACUAUAAAUAUGUAGAUGUCUGAGGUUGCAAAGAUUUUCGAGGGCGUGCACAACUUCCCAACAUUUCGCAGCAGUCUCAUCUCUAGAUUUACUGUAGUGGUAGUAACAGCUGAUUUCAAGGUUUGUCAGAUUGGUCAGUUCUCUCAGACCCUUGAUGCUGUCCAUUGAGUUGCCCAAAUCAAACCGUCCAAGAGUACGCAAAGAUUUCAUGUUACCAAUCCUAUCAGGUAAUAUUACAUGACUAGGAACAACCAGAUGCAACAACCGGCUCAAAUUAAAAAUAUCUGAUGGUAGUUUCGGAAGCCAUGUUCGUUUAUAUGGAUUUUUUCCAUUUCCUAUGUCAAACGUUUCCAGUUGCUGAAGAUCCCCAAUUUUACUAGGUAACACCACAUGGCAACCUUCUGCUACGAUCUUUAAGAAUCUUAACUGAAACAGGUGACGUAUCCCAGUAAAGUCUAGCGAUGGAUCUGACUUGGACCAUCCUGAAAUUUCAAUUCCUAGAACUCGGAGAUGCUUGAACAGUUUAAAAGAGAGCAACUGCGAGGAGGUACCAAAUCUUGCUAGCGUACGUAUUUGGGAUAGCUGGACAGAUCUCGCUGCAGUGUCAGCAGUGUCAUUUGUUGCAUCAUCCAGGUUGAGCGAGAUCCGGCGGAUCUUGUUUUGAUGUCCUGUCAUGUCUUGCAUAUCAUCGAUUAUAGUUAUGAAAUUCUCUUCUCUAGACUUAUGUAAUAUAAGAUCGAGCAUCAUAUCAUGUACCCGGCAAGAUAUUACCUCACCAUUAUAGUCUGUAUCUACAGGCAGAAUCAUACUUCUAUUGAUAAGCUCAUUAAAAUAGCUCUCUGCAAUAUCCUUUGGAUCUAUCCCACGCUCUUUACAUAUAAAUCCUUCAGCAACCCAUUGCCUAGUCAAAUCAUUCUUGUCAAUUGUGUAGUCUUCUGGAUAAAUACCAAGAUAUAGCAUGCAAGUCUUCAAAUAAUGAGGAAGAUUUAUGUAGCUGAGAUUCAAUAUUUGUCUCAUGCCUUCCAAGCUUGGGCUCACUUCAAAGUUGGAGCCUAGAGACUUCCGUACAUACUCCCACCGCUCCUUUUUAAGCUUGUUUGGCUGAUUGGCUAACAGGCUAGAUGUUGUGAUAAUUGCAAGUGGCAAGCCACCACAUUUUUUCAAAAUUUCAGACGACACUUCGUUCAAAUAUGAAGGGCACAUAUCCUCUGAACCAAAUAUUCUUUUGAGGAAUAAGCUUCUUGAGUCUUGGUCACUAAGGGCCUUCAUUUUGUAAACACAUUCAAUGUGAUUACUACAGCAAGCUCUAGCCACAGCCUCAAUUCUGGUAGUUGUUAUUACUCUGCUACCAUUCGUGUUCUCCGGAAGAGCACAUCUGAUAAUAUCCCAUGCAGAAGCAUCCCAGAUGUCAUCGAUUACAAUGAGGUACCUGCGAUGUAAAUACAUAUGGAGUGUAGCAACCAUCAUGACAGAGUAAAUGAAGACAUGAAAGUAUAUCAUCACUAAAGAUCAAAAACAACAAGAAGAAAAACACAAUUAUCCCUACUCUGCUCCUUUCUUCUCAUCCACUCAGUGAAAGAUUGAGGAACAUCGUUCCCCACUGUCUAUUUCAUCUCUUUAUUUUUUUAAAAAUGAAGUAGCUUUUUUCUGUGGGCUACACUGAAGGGGCAUGGGAUGUCAGAACAACCUGUCUGGUGCUAAAAUUGAGCGAACUAUGGCUCAUGGGCCUUGCUCUGUUUUUCAAGUAACAAUUCUCAAAACUGAAUCAUAUAUACUUAAUUAGGCUGCGGUGAGAAAGAAAUGCUAAUUGGAGGGGUGCAAUUUGAAGAAUAGAAAUGAAAAGCAAUAUUCAGAGUUCUGAUAACAAUUUUAAACCUUUUGUGUAUUUUAUAAGGAUUUCUCUGUUUUUCAUAUGCUAAUAAUGAAUAUUUUAACAGAUCUGAUAAAGUACAAAACCAUUGAAUGCAGAUUCCAAGUAAUGUGAAUGCUAACAAACAUCCAUUAUACAUUUAAGGAUACAACACAUACUAGUCAGCCACAAGAAACCAACGUCUAGAGAACAAAUCUAGACACCUCAUAUUAUAAAGUUCUAAAGAAUACUAUGGUGCUAAAGAAGAAUAGCUUCAAAAUAAAAAAGAAAGUUUCAUAUCAGAAAUCACUCAGAGCACAAUUACUUUGAGACGCGCGUACCUCUUGUCCAAUAGGAAAUUUUUCAGUGCAAUGAUCAAUUCAGACUCUUCCCACAUUUCAAUGUUGGUGUCCUUAGGAGCUACAAAUCCAGCUUGAGAUAAUAUGCUUCUCAGAAUCUUCCUAAUGUUUGGUUUUUGGGACACAGAAACAAAAGCUGGAGACUGGAACUUCUCCUCAAGCUUGUGAUAAAUCUCAUUUGCAAGCGUAGUCUUUCCGAGACCUCCAAAGCCCACAAUAGAGAGCACCUUUAGCUGAUGCGCAGGCACACCCUCUCCAUCCAUCAACUGAAUCAGCUGGUCUCUUGGUCCCUUGACACCGACAAGGCUCGUCGUCUCCGCAUGGAGCGCCAACAAGCGAGGAUCGAUGGUUGUGUUGUUUUGCUUUGGGACAGUGUCGUCAAUCUUGUACCUCGUGCGACGCUCACUUGCCUCCUUGACACGGAUCUUAAGGCCUUCAAACUCUUUUGCAAUCUCAUGCCUAGUGUUCAUUGUUGUCAGCAACUUGGUGCUCCUGGUGAUGAACCCUUUGAAUCCGUGUGGCUUGCUGGAGUCACGUUCCACGCGGAGCAUGAACUCGCUGAUGCUGUCCUCGAUGUCAUAGGACAGCUCGCGAACCUCCUUGGCCCAGCACUUGUCUUGGUCGUCAGGCUCCUCUGAAUCUGAGAUCUUCUUCAUGAAGACAUACAUGCUCUCGAGCUCAGCUUUUAGGAACAUGAUCUGCCCCUUAGCUUCUUUGAGCAACUUGUACUCGGCUGUGAGCAGCUCACUAAGCUUUCGAAGCAGGGAGCCCAUGGCGCCGCCCGAUGCGCUCACCACCGCAGCCUCCAUGGCCUCCUCUUUCCUCUCUUUGCUUGCUCUCAAUGUGACCGUGUGCAGUUUUCUCUGCGGUGCAGUGUGAGGUCUGCCAAGUGCCAAGCAAGCGCUUGACUGGAACAAAUGAGACCCUAAGCAAAGAAAGAUUCCUCUCAUCAAUCACAGAUAGAUACAUAUGCAAUCUCUUUCUUCCUUGUUAUUCCAAUGACUUUUUUCACAUGUGAUCAGUGUUCUCUUUAGCAUAAAGUCGUAAUAAUGGAGAAUAGGGUGCCCACUGCACGGUACCAGUCCAAAAGGAAACAAAGUUGAUAGGUACAUGUGGAUGCCUAUCGUGCGUCUUGUGGUUUGCUCAUCCUAAAAGUCUUUCCACUACCGUUAGUUUCUGAUAAAAUAAUCUAAAGAGAACAAUGAAUACAUACAUAUCAAUACAUGAAACUACCAAUCUCGCUAAAAAAAUAUGUAAGAAACAUGGCUCCAUUAGGCUAUAAUUGUGAUUUUGUUGAUUGUAUGAUAAUAUAGUCAAUCCGACUAAUGUUAAGAUUUUAGAAUUGUCUAAUUCACCCCUCCUCCUCAUAGGCUACAAGCACCGAUUUCUUUCAAAAAAUUAUUAUCGCACGCUGUGAUAGACAGCUGAACCAGCAUCACUAAACGUGAUUUAUUUGACAUUAAUUGUGGUGUUCUCUUUGGAGUGUGUUUUGAGGUCUAUGACAAGACGAUUGGCUACAAUGGGGUCCACAUGCAGAGAUUCUUCUCACCAAUUAUUGAUCAAUGCCGCACUCGCUUUGUUCCUUUUCAUCAUCUUUGCCUUUGGUUUGAUUUUUGUGGAAGGAAUGUGGCCGCUGCCAAUGGGCGCGCGAUUCCGAAGAACUGAAGGUGAGUGAGGGGCGCUUCUAUAUAACUUGUGGAAGCUGGUUAAACAUUAUAGCUUCAAAGCUCAUUAAGCCCAUUAGAUCAAAAUUAGAAGCUGUCAAUUAUAUUAAAAGGAUUAACAUGAAAGCUGUCCAAUAAUUUUAUACAUGCGGUACCCCUUGGAAGCUCGAGGAGCCGUCGUCUCCUCAUAUGUCAGAUUCUAUAAAAGAAAAUACAAAUAGGAAGCCCUUGCAUGUCUAAUUUAGUAUUUUAUAUUCCACGCGUGCAGCUAGCUCGCAUCUUGUGUUAUUCAACGUAGGUCAUGCACUUUGCAUGAUGCAAAGAAGACCAACCAACUCUAAAUUACUCUCUCCGUCUAAAAUAAAUUAUUCUACGAUUCAAAACUUAUUCUAAAAAUAAAUCAUCUUACUCUAUUUAGAAAGUGUAUGUCAUGGUAAGAAUCAAUUAGUGCUAGCUGGAAGGAUUACUACAUUAUUGUGCUGCAAUACAGGAUAUCAAUAUCAGUUCAUUUAUUUAAACAGUCACUAUAUAAUAUGUGAUAGUUACGUAUAAACUUAGCAAGUUUCGGAACCUAGAUGUACACACCACUGCAUCUUAUAAGGAUUAGAUACCAUGACACCGUGAGGAUUGUCGGUGUACGUCACGGUUCUGUUUUUUUAAAAAAAAAAACCGAACCACAGGUGUAUAUAGAAUGUAGAUAUACAGAGAUGAUCAGAAGCCAGCGCGCGCGCCCGCGCACACUCGCUUGGGGGUAAUUAGUUAAUGAUCGACAUUUACCAAACUGACAGCGGAAAGUGCUUAUAUUUCCCUAAUGAGUCAUAUAUUGAGUAUGUAAAAAAGUGGUAGAGGUUAAUUAGACCUUUAAUCUUGCUUAGACAUGCCCGGCCAGCAUCUGCAGGUGUGCGUGUGCACCCGUGACCCAGCAUCAGCAUUUGUACCCUGUGAUACACAAAGAAAAGGGUAAUGGUCAAUAUUUAGCUAGAAGGAAUAUAUAUAUAUAUAUAUAUAUAUACAUGAAAAAUCUAUUCUACACGCGCUUGUAGCUACUCCUACGUAUGUAUCUCAUGAUGGAGGACGUCGUAUCUAACCCAAUAAAAGAUAUGCACGAUGUGUAUAUGAUCAUACUAGACCAUCUGUAAUGGUACAUACGUUGGGUAUAUGACCGAGUAUGUAGACAUACUUAAUUUUAUAUACUAGUAUUAAGGUAUAAUAAUAUAUGUUUAAAAAAUAAGGAUGCUUUUGAAAUUUUUCGUAUAUAUCCCUUUAAAGUAUCUUAGAAUAAAUAUAUAAAUAUACUCAAAAUAAUAAAUGAGUAUGUGAACAUACGCACGAUGGUAUAUUGAUGGUGAGAGUAGCUACACGCGAGUGUAGAUAAAACCCGUCCUAUAUAUAUAUAGGAAAAAUUCAUUCUACACGCAUUUGUAGCUACUCCCAUAUGUGUAUCUCAUGACGUAGGACGUAUCUGACCCAACGAAGAGCAUGUACAUGAAGUACGUGAUCAUAUUAGAAUAUCUAUAAUGGUAUAUACGUUGGGUAUGUGACCAUACAUACAGUAUGCGAACAUACUAAUUUUUAUAUACUAGUACUAUAUAUAUGAUGAGUUUUUUCUACACUCGCAUGUAGCUACUCUCAUCAUCAGUAUACCACCGUGCGUAUGUCCGUAUACUUAUAAUUCACUUUAAAUAUGUUUAUGUACUGAUUCUAAGAUACUCACAAGGAUACAUAUGAAAAAUUUCAAAAGCAUCCUUAUUUUUUAAAUAUAUCAUCAUUAUACCUGUAGUAUUAUUAGUAUAUAAAAAUAAGUAUGUCCAUGUAUUUUAUGUAUGGUCACGUACCCAAUAUAUAUACUAUCAUAUAUAUAUAUAUAUAUAUUAAGUGCUGAAUUUUGAAAAAAAAAAGACAUGGUAUAUAAAAGAAAAGGAGCUCGUGCAGUGCGUGACGGACCCACACACGUCUUAUCAAGUGCUGCGCCAACGUAGGGUCCAGCGCAUCAGUCAGGUGAUUAUUGAUUUCAUUAAUCUCCUCGUGAACGAUGUGACUAUCUUUGAUAAAAGAGAAUUCCUUUAUCCGGGCCUCCGCGUGAUUUGUAAAGUGGCGUCAAUAGAUUUUAAUUCUGGAUCCCUAAUUUGUGAAGCUUUGUUCAUCUCGCCGUGAGGACUAGUAGAAUGAAAAAGAAAUAGAGACAAUUCGAGACAAAACAAUUUGUUACUCGGUCCUCAUCAGGUAGUAGCUUGCAUGGAACCGACUAAUCAAAGCUAGAAAGCACUUGAGCAUCCAUCAUUAUUCCUAACUCAACAAUUCCACACCACAGGCCUGUGAUGCUGAAAAUUGAUUCAGAACCAGCAGCAUCGGAAAAUAAUGACAACUUUCAAACGAACAGUACAGCUAGCUGACAGUAGUACAUGAAACGAGAAGACUGGAGCCGGUCGGCGGCCGACAGAUGUGUGUAUCGUCUAGAUUUCUUCAGCAGAGACAUGAUAUGGUCCUGCCCACAACCACAGCCCAAGCAAUGGCCGUCAAAUGAAAUAUCCAACUGAAACGUCGUGGUACCAGCUACGAGUAUGUAAUGCUGCUGGCGAUUCAUAAAAGGAGGCAAACUGCAUGACUUUGUACUUGGCCUUGAUCAUGUGCUGCUGCUGCUACUCCCACCGUUCCCCUCCUCCUCCUCCUCCUCAGGCUCAUCAAAUACCCACCCUCUACCUUUGUUAACCUUGAUGUUGGCUACAGGACGUCGUGGGUGCAUGUCAGCCGUGUCCCUCAGCGCGGACUCAGCAGCCUCCGGUUGGAUUCGAGCACUGCCAGGUCUAUCCCCCAUCUACAGAGAUUUCUUUGAGGCCUGGUAGGUGCUCGAUGCCAGCAGGCACAGCUCCGUACCUGUCCAUCCCUUUGCAUUGAAACAUAGCUCGAGCCUUUCGAGCUUGGGCAUUGUCUCUGCCUCAAAGGUCAGGUACGAUAUCCUGCCAC
rnacentral:lncRNA from 1 species